CCUACGGGGGGCAGCAGUGAGGAAUAUUGGUCAAUGGACGAGAGUCUGAACCAGCCAAGUAGCGUGAAGGAUGACUGCCCUAUGGGUUGUAAACUUCUUUUAUAUGGGAAUAAAACGUUCCACGUGUGGGAUUUUGUAUGUACCAUAUGAAUAAGGAUCGGCUAACUCCGUGCCAGCAGCCGCGGUAAUACGGAGGAUCCGAGCGUUAUCCGGAUUUAUUGGGUUUAAAGGGAGCGUAGGUGGAUUGUUAAGUCAGUUGUGAAAGUUUGCGGCUCAACCGUAAAAUUGCAGUUGAAACUGGCAGUCUUGAGUACAGUAGAGGUGGGCGGAAUUCGUGGUGUAGCGGUGAAAUGCUUAGAUAUCACGAAGAACCCCGAUUGCGAAGGCAGUUCACUGGACUGCAACUGACACUGAGGCUCGAAAGUGUGGGUAUCAAACAGGAUUAGAUACCCCAGUAGUC
rnacentral:rRNA from 1 species